CCCCCCCAGCGAUCCCUAACCCCUCCUCCUCCUCCUCCCUAACCCAAAUCCAACAAAUCCCUAACCGGAAGGCCGUCCACGGCAGGGAUGACCCCUCCCCCUCCUCCUCCUCCUCCCUAACCCCUCCUCUCUCCUUUGCGUUAACUCCAAAACCCUAGCUUCCCCAAUCCCUCUCCUCUCGAAACCCUAGCUCCCAUGGCGGCCCUCCUAUCCUCCCAGUGCCAGUGCCGCUUCUCCGCUGCCGCCCUGAGAUCCUCCGUCUCGGCCAGGCGGAGCUGCUUCGAUGGCCACCAGAGACCCCUCUGGUUCCGCCGCCUAGGGUUCUGCUGCUCUUCUUCUUCAUCGAGGUUUCGCAAACUCGAUUCCGGAUGGGGAGAGGUACCGGUUGGUCCAGUUCUCUUCCAACCGUUUAUUCCACAUUGUGAUCAUGAAAGGGAUUGGUAGCUUGAUCUGAUGAUGGAUGGAAAUUGCUUCAACUAUAAUAAAUGGCCAUGGAAGAAUUUGUUUGGCAGAGCCCUAGCAUCUGGGAUGUAUGUUAGUCUGACUCUUUCUGUGGCCAUUGCUUUGGAGCUUUAAUUUCUGCUGCUUAAAAACUCAUCUGAUUUGAGAGAUCCAUGCUGCGAUUUGUGUUUACCAAAAUGACAGCAGUUUGUGCAGUUGAAAUAACCAUUUUCUAGCUCUUCCAUAUUUUGAAUUCAAUCAGUUCACAGAUAUGGUUCCUCCCUGCUCUUAGUGGAGAUGAAUGCGGUCAACUGGUGCAGUGAGGAGGGCUGUAGCACAAGUAGCUCAAUAAGAUGAGAGUUGAUGGGAGAACCCAGCUCUUUCAGAAAUAAUUCAAAGAAAAUAAUUUUACUUGGAUGAUGCAGAUAAAUUUUUGUAUGCAUGCCUGAAUAUAUACAGCAUUUCUGUUUAUAUGUACAUUCUAAGUAUUUUUCUGCUUUCUAGGUAGAGUACAUUCUAUUUGUCAUAUUUCACAUGCAACCAGGCAGAGAUAGCUAAUCAGUGUUAUCACUUACUUUGCCAUUGAGGUUGGAUUCAAUUAUUCUCUAGUUUGCAUCGACUUGAUCUACCACCAGAUCAACUACAUCCAAAAUCUGAUCAGCAACAAGGUUUAGGCACACCUCCUAUUCAAUUUGACUGCAGCUCAGCAAACACAGUGCACUCUCCAUAUGUUAAAGCUGAUUCGGAGCUUGAAUACCAUUGAAAAUUUUGGUGUGUUGUUUAUAGGUAGUAUAUUUCCUUUUAGAUAAAAUCUUGAUUUUACUAUUUGCAUGAAUAAUACAUUACUAAAGCUCUUUCUAUCAUUACAUAUUUGAUAACUGAGGUCCUCUAUGUGUCUUAAAGUUACAGAUGCUGGAUUAUUGUUUUAGGUGAAAAUUCAAUUUAGCUCAUUAGUUUUAUAAGAUCUAUUGAUCGUCAACUUAGUGCAUGCUUAUAAAUCUGCAACACAACUGCAUAAUGCGAUGGAAAAAGUUUGCCUGAAGCUUUAUGAAGUUCCCUUGAAUCUUAAGGCACAUGUCCUCAAUUUUCAUGUACUCAUGCCCAACCAAAAGGGGAAAAAAGUGAUCAGAUUAUUUUCCAUUGCAUGUCUUUGGUUGGGAAUGUUGUGUUCUAUCCAAUCUUCAGCUCAAAGAAAAUUAUUGCCUUUUCAAACUAUGCCCUGCAGUUGAAGCCUUUAUAACCUGAGUAUUAUCCCCUUUAUAUUGUUGUUUCAAGGCCUGACAGUGAUAUUGCACAUGUUGUCUGCUUUCUUGGUUUAUUUGCUGUUGCAAAUCUUCAUUAAAUCUGUAACCUUUCCUUCCUUACAAGUUUGGUGACAGAGUUCUUAAAGGAAGAAUAGAAGCAAAUUGCACAUCUUACAAGUUUGGUGACAGAGUUCUUAAAGAAAAAGACUCAAACGCACAAGUCAUCUAUCCAUCAUGAUGGGGCCAUGUAUUCAACUGGUGGUACAAAUACUCGUUGAUACAUGGUGGAGUUAUGAGCAUGUGAAAUUUAGUUUUUGGUACAUAGAUAGCUUUUGUUCAGAUGAUCAUGGUGGAGUUGUCUACAAGCAGAAUCUAGUUUUUGGUAUAAGAAUAUUUUUGUCUACAUGAUGGUUGUUUGGAUGAAUAGCAAGAUCAGAUAUUUUGGGAUUUUUAAUUUACAUUUUGAUGUAUUUGGUGAUGAUUAUCACCUUAACAUAUGGUAUGGAUGAAACAUUGUGAUGUAUGGUAUUAAUAGAUAUGCUUGACUUUAGACUUAUAGAUGAUGAUAUUUAUAAUGAAUGAUUAUGGAUUCUCCAA